rnacentral:rRNA from 1 species
GGUGGGGAUGACGUCAAGUCCUCAUGGCCCUUAUGGUAGGGCUUCACACGUCAUACAAUGGUCGGUACAGAGGGUUGCCAAGCCGCGAGGCGGAGCCAAUCCCACAAAGCCGAUCGUAGUCCGGAUUGUUCUCUGCAACUCGAGAGCAUGAAGUCGGAAUCGCUAGUAAUCGCAGGUCAGCAUACUGCGGUGAAUACGUUCCCGGGUCUU